AUUGAACGCUGGCGGCAUGCCUUACACAUGCAAGUCGAACGGUAACAGGUUAAGCUGACGAGUGGCGAACGGGUGAGUAAUGUAUCGGAACGUGCCCAGUCGUGGGGGAUAACUGCUCGAAAGAGCAGCUAAUACCGCAUACGACCUGAGGGUGAAAGCGGGGGAUCGCAAGACCUCGCGCGAUUGGAGCGGCCGAUAUCAGGUUAGGUAGUUGGUGAGGUAAAGGCUCACCAAGCCGACGAUCUGUAGCUGGUCUGAGAGGACGACCAGCCACACUGGGACUGAGACACGGCCCAGACUCCUACGGGAGGCAGCAGUGGGGAAUUUUGGACAAUGGGCGCAAGCCUGAUCCAGCCAUGCCGCGUGCGGGAAGAAGGCCUUCGGGUUGUAAACCGCUUUUGUCAGGGAAGAAAAGGUUCUGGCUAAUACCUGGGACUCAUGACGGUACCUGAAGAAUAAGCACCGGCUAACUACGUG
rnacentral:rRNA from 1 species